UACGUAGGGGGCAAGCGUUGUCCGGAAUUAUUGGGCGUAAAGAGCGUGUAGGCGGUCCGGUAAGUCGGCUGUGAAAGUCCAGGGCUCAACCCUGGGAUGCCGGUCGAUACUGCCGGACUAGAGUUCGGAAGAGGCGAGUGGAAUUCCCGGUGUAGCGGUGAAAUGCGCAGAUAUCGGGAGGAACACCUAUGGCGAAGGCAGCUCGCUGGGACGUUACUGACGCUGAGACGCGAAAGCGUGGGUAGCAAACAGG
rnacentral:rRNA from 1 species